AAUCCCACCAAGAGGCACUACAUUAAUGAAACUAGCUUUGGUGAUCUGAUGAGCAUUUCACAUUUCAAAGCGCCACCUGAUCUGAUGGAGUGGUUAACUAUGAACAUUGACACUAAAAAGCGUGAGCUCAGGCUGAGUCGGACUAAGGUGAUUGUGUUUACUAGAGACAUGGUGAAGAAGGUUUUCAGUAUCCCAUCAGGCAACAGACCAGUUGAGCUUUUCAAGAGACACGAGCAGUGUGAGCUACGCAACAUUUAUCAUAAGAAUGGCAGGGCUCCAAUUGCGCAUACAGUGAAUGUGCUUCACCGAGCAAGGAAUGAUGAUGGUGAUACUAUGAAGAGAUCAUGGGUGCUCUUGGCGCUUGCAACCGUUUUAACUCCAAGCACUGGAAACAUGGUGCCCCUAGAGUACUUGAAAAGCCUUGAAGAAAUGGACAAGGUUGCUGAAUUUGCUUGGGAUGAGCAUGUUUUAAGUGUUGCAAUGAGAGAGGUCAAGAAGUGUCAGGACAAGAUAAAAUCACAAGCUACUUCUUCAUUCUGGGUUAUUUACAUGGACCAUUUGAUAUUUCCCCAAGCUGCCGUCAAUGAGCACCAACUGAAUUAUUCUCUUCCAAGGGCUUGCUUCGUACAUCAAACGGACUUUGAUCUUGUAUUGGAAUUUGACAAGAACAAGCUAUCUUUGGGCAAAGCUUCAUUCGGGAAGUGUCGUUUUCGCCCUCUAUCGGAGACACCAUAUGAAGCAUUGCCUGCCGAAGGCCCGGUAGGCAACAGGAGU
rnacentral:rRNA from 1 species